CCGCACGGUGCCUCCCGGGCCUCUCUGAGUUCCCCAUGACGCGAAGGCCCCGAUGCACGUGCCAAAUCGCCGCCGUUCGUGUUGCAGUUUAGCCCCAAUUUCCCACGGCUGAUCUGUGUCAAAGUAACGGCCAAAUUC
rfam:Cajanus cajan chromosome 4, whole genome shotgun sequence.